UGGCCCCUUUGGGACAAAUUAAAAUUUAGGUCACCUGCUUUUUUUUUGGGGGUGUGGGCAGGAGUGACGAAAAACCUUGGAGGCUACUCACGCAGCUCUCUUGGGAAACUGUGUCAAGUUGGUCUUAAAAUUUUGACCACACGCAAGUGCGUACAAUAUAGAUUGUCGAAGAAUUACUCAUCAAUUGCUUUCGAUGAGCACGUGCUGUCUUUCUCCCAAGGACCUUUGGGCAGGACGUUUUGACCUGUACCGCCUCCAUAUACCAUUGUGUGUGGUAUACCAUUCCGAUAAUAUGGCUAUUCGAAUUCGAAAAAUCGAUUCGCCGCUAAUUGGUUUGUUUUCAACGUGUUUCUUUUUUGGACACUACAGUCCUGCUAAUGUCCUGGCAUAGUGCAAAAAAACAAGAAAACAAACCGUGUGCACCAAGAGUCCUGGCAAAUUGUAAAAUAAAUAAAUAAAACAUAAAACUCACAUGUGAGGAACACAGGUUGUGACUCUCAGUACGGCCCCAAAAGCCCAGCCCCAUUUUGACCAGCUUUUCCCGCACUUCCCAUUGAAUAUGCAUACACGCAAGGACCUCACCAGUUGUCCAGCUGAGCAGGUGCAAUUGUCCAUUCAGACGUCGUUGAACUUGUCAGGACAACGGUUCAUCAAGCGCUAGGAUAUUCGGAUUUUCAAAUCGGUCAUUUCGCAGUGCCAAGUGAACGGAUAUAACCCAUGAAUCACCAUUGGGGCGAUGUGCAGAGCCGCGGACUCUAGUGAUUCACUAGUCUAAAGUUGAAGAAAACUACUCAAAAACCGGAUAGCAGAAUACAACAAUGCCUCCCAAGAGACGCAGGAGAUUCCAGGGACUCUACUACCAUUCAUCGCCGCCCAAAGUCAUGCCGAUGAAUGGACAGGAGGGUGGACAAAAUGGACGUAAGCGUCGCGACAACGAAGAUUUCUCGGUGAAGCUAUCCACCAUUCGGAUCUGGAUUCACGAGAAGGACAUUGGCAAGCUGACGCGUAUCUUGUGGGCGGGCCAGGGCAACCGCCUCAGUCAGCAGGCCAGCAACAAUGGGCGUGUGAAGCGCUUCCUGGCCGCCGUGCCCCAUGUCAUGAAUGCCAUCAAGGAUCUGCAUCAGGCGGUCAUCGACAACAGUCUGGAGACCGUUCAGGCCCAGUUGGAACCACCGGUUCCCAGUGCCUUGGUCACCUGCAAGGACGGCAAUGGCCUCAAUAUUAUCCACAAGGCCGCCGGACUGGGUCACACCAAGAUCCUGGAGUAUCUGGUGGGCAUUUGGCCCGAGGGCGCCCACGAGGUGGACAUCACCGGGAAGACGCCGCUCCACUGGGCCGCCAGUGCCAAGAACAACAUGAGGUGCUACACCCUGCUGACCCAAGCGGGCUGCGAUGAGGAGGCCGUCGAUUAUAAAAUGAAAACUCCCUCGUACUAUCGCCACAAGCCGCACGAAAUCGAGCGCGCCUUCCUGGUUUAUGUGCCGGAGGCGCCCCGCGUCUCCCCCGACAGCGCCACCGAUUGGGAGGCCUUGAGCGAUGACAGUGGAGUGGUGGACACCGGGGCGGCCGGGGAUGCCGGCUCCAAGAAACUGGACAUCAAGGUCCCUCCGUCCGUGAAUGGUCGCAAAUCGCUGGACGACAGCCUUGAGAACACCUCGGAGCUGGACACCAAUGAUGGUACGAGUGCCAAUGAGGAUGACGAUCUGUCCAAGGCGGAUGUGGAGCCGGAAGCGGAAGUCGUCUCGCCAUUGCAGCGCCGACCGGAAACGCCGGCCACAUUCAACACGAUCAAUGGCGAUGGCGAAGAUAGCGAGGCUGAGAAUAUUGCAAGAGCUGUAAGCGCAGAUGGAGGCGGAGUUGGGCAGGACGAAGAUGGAGGAGGAGGCGGAGGAGAUGCGGCGGUCAUGGCGAAUGGAGGAGAUCAUGAUGAGGCUCCGGAGGAGGAGCAGAAACCAGAUGAACCCGAGGAGGUGGAGGUGGCGCAGCUGCCUGAAGAAUCAGCGGCUGAGAGUGAGCUUGAAGGAAACAAAAAGACUGAAGGAGAACCGGAGGAGAAGGAUGCAGAGGCAGAGGAAGUAGCAGAUGAGCCGGAGGUCCCCGUAAAGGAUGAAGCGGAACCGGAAGUGGCCGCCAUGUCCGCCGAAGAGAAGGAGGCCGAGUCAGAGAACGAAAACGAUGACGACGAUGAGGAUGUAAUAGCUUCAGGCGGCAAUGGAGAAGAUCCACAGGAGGAUCAGCCACCAGGAGGAGGUGAAUCAGAGCCACAGGAGGAGGACGGCAACGAGUCCCUAACAUCAGCAAUGGCCAUUGAGGGCUUUGUGCAAGGUGCCCCCGAGGAUUAUACAGGUGAACGCAUUAAGCGCAUUGUGGAUGCCGGUGACCUGGAGCAGCUGGCCGAGAUUGUGCUGAAUGGUGAGGGCGGCAACCUGGUGGGCCUUAAGUCGCAGGAACCGGAAAUACAGGCCUUUCUCAACAACGUGCCCAGCUAUAUGGAGAAAAUACAUCGCGUGCACGAUGCGGCACGUGACGGAGGUUUGCUGGCACUGCAGCAGGCUCUGGAUCGCCGGAAGUUUGCCAUUGCAAAGAACGACAUAUCGCCCAACGGCUCCACGCCGCUGCACGUGGCCGUCCUCUUCGGCCACACGGAUAUCGUUCGCUACCUGGCGUCGCGUUUUCCGGAGACCAUGACCAUUACGGAUAAUGACGGGCGAACGGCGCUUCAUUACGCAGCCACAAUUAAGGACAACGGUCACUUCUAUAACAUGCUCUUGCAGUUGGGCGCCAAUCCGAAAGUACUGGACAAGCUGGGCCACUCGGCCGAGUUUUACCUGGACAAGGACAAGGCGAAAAACAUACUGAACUACACGGAGCUGCUCAAUAUAUUCGGGGCGGAGGAACUGGAGAACCAGUUGCUCAACGACCAGGUCCCCGACGAUCUGCACAGUGCCCGGCGGGAGCUGCAGGACGGCGAGAUCUCGAGGACCUUGGAGCGCUGCUAUAGCGUCAUUGCGGAAUCGGGAAAACUGUUGAGCGGUACUACGGCAUCGGCUCUAUCGCAUCGAAAGCCCUUGAGUGCUUCUUCGCUGCAGCUUUCGGUCACUAGUUAUCUGAGUCGAUUCCUGAAGCGUGGGGUCUAUGAGAAAAUCAAGCGUCGGCAAACCCGUCUCGAUCACAAUCUCUUCGAUGUCCUGUGGCCGGCCAUGCGGAAGACUUCGAAGGCCCGCCAUUUGGAGGAGGAUAUCAACUGCGGCAUUAUAGCCCCAGAUUUUGAUGUAUUUGUGGUGUUCCAAGAGUUCCUGGUGCCGUUGCUAAAGGAUAUGCAUUGCCUGAGUAUCGAUGCUGAUUUUAAGCCACAACCGCGACUGGCUUACUUCCCAAUGGAUAAUGGCGAACGGCUCAAUACGGCGGCUUUUGUUUUUGACGAUGAGUCCCUUUUGGUCACCCGUUGCUUGGUUGAGGUCUCCAGAAAUCUGGAUCAGUUGGAGUUACCCUUGAACCUCACCAUUGGCCAACUAGAGCAAGCGGAGCGCCUGAUGAUGAGCAAAAUAUUCACCACGCACUUUGCAGACGCCAUUGGCGAAACGGAUUCGGGUAACUAUUAUACCAUGACCGAACUCCUAGAAACCGAUUCGGAGGUGACCAUGAUGCUGAGCAGUCUGGGUCUGAUGAUUCCCCUCCUGGAUACCAAGGAUCUGGUUCAGGCUGCCGAGUCCACGGCUUUUAAUGGAGCCCUCUGGCCAUAUGGCAGGGGUGUUUUUGUUAAUUCAGCCAAUAAUUUGGCUGUGUGGCUGAAUUGUCAGGAGCACUUGAGAAUUAUCUCCACCAGCAGCAGCAAAGAGCCUGCCGAUAUGGGUGCCGCCUAUACGCGAGUGGGAAGAGCCAUCUCCUAUCUGGAAACGCAGCUGCACUUCAAGGAGAGCUACCUCCUGGGAUACCUGCAGUCCAGACCCAGUUACCUGGGCACAGGUCUCAAGAUGACGACCAUCGUGAAGUUGACCAAUCUGAUGAAAGAGAUGGACAACCUGCGGCACUUGUGCUCCGUAAGAGGCCUAAGUAUGGUGACCAAUCUCCUGUCAAAACUCACCGUGCGCCUUGUAAAUAUGCAAAGUAUGGGUGUGGUGGAAUUCGUGCUUUUCCAGGAUUAUUGCACUGCAGUCACCAACAUACUAUCACUUGAGAAGGAUAUGUCGCUUACAAACUCCAAACACAUUGCCACCAUGCUGGUAAAGAUCUUCAAACGCAAGAAGAACAGCAUCGUGGAUCGUAACUAGAGAAAAGGACCAAGUGCCAGCUCAAUGUAUAUACAAAUGAAAAGAAUACCUCAGCACCCAAAACCUCAAAUGCUUAUAUAGUACUUUAUCUGAUUGACACCUACCUCGUGCCCUCAUCUCAAAUCUCCUCCGCUUACGCUGCUCUUAAAGUUAAUCCGCAAUCGUCAGGCGCAGCCAGUGAGCUUUCAGGCCAAUCCCAUCUUCAAGACCGAGCAGGGCAAAUACCUAGCUAAUUCCCUCGCCGAUCCAUUGAUCA